UAGAAGAUUAGACUCUUCAACAAGGUGAAGAACCUUUGUCCUCUUGGUUAGCCGAUAAUUCUGAGAAACAACUCCCUACCUCGAAUUUGUAUGCUUCUCAAAUAGCUUAUUCAAAUGAUAAGAAGCAAACUGUAAAUCAGCACUAUGAUCUCAGUUAAGUCCUACCUCCUAACUUGAUAUGCUCAAUUAGUUACAAAUGAAUGAGUCUUCAGACUCUCAUCAACUAAUCACUAACCAAAUCAUGCCCAAAUCUCCAUCAGGUUACUAGACAGACAACAGAGUUAAGUGACGUUUUCUGUUUCUUUCUCACAGUGUAAGAACAAAGAGGAAUCAUGAAUGAGUAGAUAGAUGCAAGUGCGGAUAAGUCUUGAACAGGUCAACAGGGUGGUCACACACAUACCUUAAAGGAUACAUAAAACUCGGUAUCUUUGUUCAACUUAUUCAACGUAAGAAUAUAUUGCUCCUUUCUGUACAUCAUAAGGAGUGCUUUCACCUGAACAAAUGAAGGUUUCCAAGAAGUUGGAUUAACAAAUUGAAUUAUAGCCGAAUAAAUAAAUAAAUAAAUAAUCUGAAUCUUAUCCUCUCAAAAUUAUAUAUGGAUGCAGUUAAAACGAAGGGAGACAAU
rnacentral:lncRNA from 1 species